rnacentral:rRNA from 1 species
AUUGAACGCUGGCGGCAGGCCUUACACAUGCAAGUCGAACGGGUGGCGGACGGGUGAGUAAUGUCUGGGAAACUGCCCGAGGGAGGGGGAGAACUACUGGAAACGGUAGCUAAUACCGCAUACCAUCGGAUGUGCCCAGAAUGGAUUAGCUAGUAGGUGGGGUAAAGGCUUACCAAGGCGACGAUCCCUAGCUGGUCUGAGAGGAGGACCAGCCACACUGGAACUGAGACACGGCCCAGACUCCUACGGGAGGCAGCAGUGGGGAAUAUUGCACAAUGGGGGCAAGCCUGAUGCAGCCAUGCCGCGUGUAUGAAGAAGGCCUUCGGGUUGUAAAGUACUUUUAGCGAGGAGGCGGUACCCGCAGAAGAAGCACCGGCUAACUCCGUGCCAGCAGCCGCGGUAAUUC